AUGACAUGGUUCCUGGCAGACUUGCGUAUUACAUUUUCAUCACAUGAAAUAUCGAAGCCCAGGACAACUCCGACGCGGGCACAAGAAUGGAUACCACCACCGGCAGGUCACCAUAAGGUAAACGUUGAUGCAGCCACCUGUAAACAUCCUCCAGUGGGGGCUGUUAGUGCUGUUUGCCGGGAUCAGUCAGGAGCAUAUGUUGGAUCUGCGGCGGUGGUCUUCCAUGGAAUGACCGAUCCAAAUAUAUUGGAAGCUCUUGCAUGUCGCGAGGCUAUUGCACUGGCCAAGGACCUGACACUGACUCAUAUCAGGGUGGCCUCAGAUUGCCUCUUAGAGAUCGACGACAUGAGCGGGGAUUUUCAGUCCUGCUCCUUUACCCAUGAGAGACAUCUCUCCAAUAAGGAGGCGCAUGGCUUAGCUAAACAUACUUUACAUUUAGGGGAGGGUCGCCAUGUGUGGCUGUUACACCCUCAUGAUACUUCUAUUAUUCCUUUAAUUUGCUCCAUUGAUCAGUAA
rnacentral:rRNA from 1 species